GGCCCAGCAUCAGAACAAGCCUACAACGCCAUCUACUGGACAGAACAUAUUCCCCCUUUUGUGAGAAGAAAUGCUACAACUUCCACAAUAACCACAUAGUCCUUCAACCAUAUCGGACUCCUCUUCAUCCUCACACUCCUUGGGCAUUUAGUUGGAUCUGCUAGAGUCCUUGAAGGAAUCCUCCGUUACCUUUCCAGCACACUGCGUUCCAACGUCUCCCAUCACUGAGAAGGCACAGCAUCAGAACAAGCCUACAACGCCAUCUACUGGACACAACAACUCUGCAGGACACCGGCCCUCCAGGAUUGUGUCUGGUGACCCCUGCUAUAAG